GCUGUCUCGUUCAGCGCUCGUGUGCGUAAGGUGUGUUUUGGGUUAAGUCUCGCAACGAGCGCAACCCUCGUGUUUAGUUGCCACUAUGAGUUUGGAACCCUGAACAGACCGCCGGUGUUAAGCCGGAGGAAGGAGAGGAUGAGGCCAAGUCAUCAUGUCCCUUAUGCCCUGGGCGACACACGUGCUACAAUGGGCGGGACAAAGGGUCGCGAUCUCGCGAGGGUGAGCUAACUCCAAAAACCCGUCCUCAGUUCGGAUUGCAGGCUGCAACUCGCCUGCAUGAAGCAGGAAUCGCUAGUAAUCG
rnacentral:ncRNA from 1 species